CUACCGAUAGAGAUAAGAGGAAUAUCGACGAGCAGCCAAAGGACAUUGGUGCGGAUUGUAGCACAGCCUCACAAUUUGUAAGCGGGGUUGAAGUGAAACUUUUAGGGCAUUCGAAAGGGCUUGUAGAGACACUAACGAUAGAUGUUUCACAACAAGUCGGAAGGACAGAUUGAGGAUCACAGCUUGCCAAAGUUCAUGGUCUACGAUUAAGAUAAUUAACAAUAAAGAUAAAAUAAAAAACAUAAAAUAAAUAAAAUAAAAUAAAAAUAACAAAAGAGAUUGAAGUUAUAUAUGGUCUCUAGAUAUUUUAUAUUGGAAUUAAGCUUUUACAUUGCAAUCUGAUAUAGAUUGUAUUUGGAUAGUCAAGAACCUGAUAGACUGCUUGAGUACUAGCGAAACACCAUACUACCUCCUACAGCUAGAUGCCCGAUGCAUUCUCAAGCAAGAUAGCACGUAAUACAACAUAAAGUGGUGAACCCAACGUGAAAGCUUGAGGUGGAAGGUAUUGGAUUUCGUUUGAUUUUAUUUUUAUUUUUAUGAAGAACGAAAAUAAAA
rnacentral:lncRNA from 1 species